rnacentral:rRNA from 1 species
GAUGAACGCUGGCGGCGUGCCUAAUACAUGCAAGUCGAGCGAAUGGAUUAAGAGCUUGCUCUUAUGAAGUUAGCGGCGGACGGGUGAGUAACACGUGGGUAACCUGCCCAUAAGACUGGGAUAACUCCGGGAAACCGGGGCUAAUACCGGAUAACAUUUUGAACCGCAUGGUUCGAAAUUGAAAGGCGGCUUCGGCUGUCACUUACGGAUGGACCCGCGUCGCAUUAGCUAGGUGGUGAGGUAACGGCUCACCAAGGCAACGAUGCGUAGCCGACCUGAGAGGGUGAUCGGCCACACUGGGACUGAGACACGGCCCAGACUCCUACGGGAGGCGGCAGUAGGGAAUCUUCCGCAAUGGACGAAAGUCUGACGGAGCAACGCCGCGUGAGUGAUGAAGGCUUUCGGGUCGUAAAACUCUGUUGUUAGGGAAGAACAAGUGCUAGUUGAAUAAGCUGGCACCUUGACGGUACCUAACCAGAAAGCCACGGCUAACUACGUGCCAGCAGCCGCAGUAA